rnacentral:rRNA from 1 species
GUGCAGCAGGCGAGAAACUUUACAAUGUGCGAAAGCACGAUAAGGGAACUCUGAGUGCCUCCUAAGGAGGCUGUUCAGGUGUCUAAAAGCACCUGGAGUAAGGGCUGGGUAAGACCGGUGCCAGCCGCCGCGGUAACACCGGCAGCCCAGGUGGUAGCCACUUUUAUUGGGUCUAAAGCGUCCGUAGCCGGUUGAGUAAGUUCCUUGGGAAAUUUGGCUGCUCAACAGUCAAGCUUCCAGGGAAUACUGCUCGACUUGGGGACUGGGAGAGGUCAGAGGUACUCCAGGGGUAGGGGUGAAAUCCAUUAAUCCCUGGGGGACCACCGGUAGCGAAGGCGUCUGACCAGACCAGGUCCGACGGUGAGGGACGGAGGCUAGGGUCGCGAACCGGAUUAGAUACCCCCGUAGU